GAUGAACGCUAGCGGCAGGCCUAACACAUGCAAGUCGAGGGAGAAGCCCUUCGGGGCAGAAACCGGCGCACGGGUGCGUAACGCGUAUGCAACCUACCUUUCACAGGGGGAUAGCCCGAAGAAAUUUGGAUUAAUACCCCAUAGUAUUAUUGGGUGGCAUCAUUUGAUAAUUAAAAUUACGAUGGUGAAAGAUGGGCAUGCGUCCUAUUAGCUAGUUGGAGUGGUAACGGCACCCCAAGGCUACGAUAGGUAGGGGUCCUGAGAGGGAGAUCCCCCACACUGGUACUGAGACAGGGACCAGACUCCUACGGGAGGCAGCAGUGAGGAAUAUUGGUCAAUGGUCGGAAGACUGAACCAGCCAUGCCGCGUGCAGGAAGAAUGCCUUAUGGGUUGUAAACUGCUUUUAUAUGGGAAGAAUAAGGAGUACGUGUACUUUGAUGACGGUACCAUAUGAAUAAGC
rnacentral:rRNA from 1 species